CCCUUUUUUAAAGUACAGGCAACUGAGUGAUUUAGGUCACACAGGUAUCCUGCAGUUAUGCUAUCAUAAAUAAAGUUUAAGUUUAUUAAAAUAUUCUAAGUAAUAAAAUAAGCAGUUAAACAGUUAUUCAUUUCGACUGAUAUGCAAAUACAACGCAUUGGCCGCUAAAGGGGUUAUUGCAAGUGAACUACAUUUACCAGACAGCAAAACGAUGUCCCACUGCUGCGCAAUCGCGUUCUUUUGCGUUUCUACGACUUGACGUCGUUUCUAUGUAACCGGAUCUGGCGUCUGUGUAGGAUUACGGCUGUUGCUUCAGCCUUCAGAAGAUGCCUGAAGUGAAGUCAAUGUUCAGAGAAGUUCUUCCCAAACAAGCUGUCUAUGGAGGAUGUGCCCACUAUGGUGCUGUGUAAACCAAAGCUACUGCCUCUAAAAUCAGUCACCCUGGAAAAACUGGAAAAG